rnacentral:rRNA from 1 species
CGUGUGGGGGCUUGACGGUACUAUAUGAAUAAGGAUCGGCUAACUCCGUGCCAGCAGCCGCGGUAAUACGGAGGAUCCAAGCGUUAUCCGGAAUCAUUGGGUUUAAAGGGUCCGCAGGCGGCCUGUUAAGUCAGAGGUGAAAUCCUACAGCUCAACUGUAGAACUGCCUUUGAUACUGAUAGGCUUGAGUUAUUGUGAAGUGGUUAGAAUGUGUGGUGUAGCGGUGAAAUGCUUAGAUAUCACACAGAACACCCAUUGCGAAGGCAGAUCACUAACAAUAUACUGACGCUCAUGGACGAAAGCGUGGGGAGCGAACGGGAUUAGAUACCCCGGUAGUCCACGCCGUAAACGAUGGAUACUAACUGUUCGACCUUCGGGUUGAGUGGUCAAGCGAAAGUGAUAAGUAUCCCACCUGGGGAGUACGCUCGCAAGAGUGAAACU